GAUGAACGCUGGCGGCGUGCCUAACACAUGCAAGUCGAACGGAGUUUAUGAGGCCUUCGGGCCGAGUAAACUUAGUGGCGGACGGGUGAGUAACGCGUGGGUAACCUGCCUCAUACAGGGGGAUAACAGUUGGAAACGACUGCUAAAACCGCAUAUUAUUACAUUGUCGCAUGACGAAGUGAUGAAAUAUUUUAUAGGUAUGAGAUGGGCCCGCGUCUGAUUAGCUAGUUGGUAGGGUAAAGGCCUACCAAGGCGACGAUCAGUAGCCGGCUUGAGAGAGUGACCGGCCACAUUGGGACUGAGACACGGCCCAAACUCCUACGGGAGGCAGCAGUGGGGAAUAUUGCACAAUGGGGGAAACCCUGAUGCAGCGACGCCGCGUGAGUGAAGAAGUAUUUCGGUAUGUAAAGCUCUAUCAGCAGGGAAGAAAAUGACGGUACCUGACUAAGAAGCCCCGGCUAACUACGUG
rnacentral:rRNA from 1 species